AUUGAACGCUGGCGGCAGGCCUAACACAUGCAAGUCGAGCGAGCGGCGGGCGGUUGAGUAAUGUAUGGGGACUGCCCGAUAGAGAGGGAUAACUGCUGGAAAAGGUGGCUAAUCCCGCAUACUAUCCGAUACGCCAUAUGGGAUUAGCUAGUAGGUAAGGUAAUGGCUUACCUAGGCGACUAUCCCUAGCUGGUCUGAGAGGAUGAUCAGCAACACUGGGACUGAGACACGGCCCAGACUCCUACGGAGGCAGCAGUGGGGAAUCUUGCACAAUGGGCGCAAGUCUGAUGCAGCCAUGCCGCGUGUAUGAAGAAGGCCCUAGGGUUGUAAAGUACUUUUAGUCGGGAGGCGUUACCGACAGAAGAAGCACCGGCUAACUACGUGCCAGCAGCCGCGGUAAUUC
rnacentral:rRNA from 1 species